rnacentral:misc_RNA from 1 species
CCUUUUUGUGCGCUUCUAAAUUUAAUGCAUUAUAUGGUGAGGAACUGCUGGAUUCUGUUUUUAGUGUAUUUCUGGGCUGAAGAAUUUAACCAUUUAUCAUUUAUUAUUUAUUAAAUCACUUGGGCCAUUCAAAUUUUUGGUGAAGGGAAUGAGAAUUUGCAACUGUAUAGCGAUUGUUGCAAUUGCAAGGAUGUUAGUUGCCAACUGCACUUAUUUUUAUUGAAAGGAAAAGAGUUGCCAUUUUUUUUUCUAUGUUUAUUUAGUUAAUUGAACUGCUAAUUAGUUUAAGUGGCGAGAAAAAUGUUCUUACUUUGACUGAGAAUACGCGUAUCAUUUUAUGGUAAACUAGGGCUGAAGGCUAGUUCUCAAUGCCGUGCAUGCCAAAGAAUCUAUUUUUAAUUUUUUUUAAGUGAUGAAAAAAAUUGUAGAUUAGUGGAAGUAAAUCUAUUGAUUAAAUUGCAGCAUUUAGGCUUGGUUUGAUUACUGGAAUUGAGGGAUUGAGGAUGAAGUGAAAGCAUUGCCAUUUAUAAUUUCUAAAGCAUGGCUCCUGUGUAGUAAAGAAAAUCAGGGUAUGUAAUAAUUUUCAUUUGUGAUUCACCUUUCCCAUUUUGUUAGUUCGAGUUUACCAAACAGAAGGAGAAUUGAAUGCGUGAUUCUUUCCAGUUCCUUUUUUGUUCCUGAUAACCAAACAAGACCUGAGUGUUUGUCUCAUAUAACCUUAUGUAACCUUUCUCCUACUAGAUCUGAAGUGAAGAAGAGAGGAAAACAUAAAAUAACAAGUGAAUUGAAACAUAUAUUCUUAUUUGCUCUAGAGGAAUAGUUCUGAAAUGAAAAAGGUAUAAUGGAGGUAAACAUUUAGGUUUGAUUAAAGUAAGGAAUCUCUUC